rnacentral:rRNA from 1 species
CAGUCGCCGCGGUAAUACAGAGGGUGCGAGCGUUGUUCGGAAUUACUGGGCGUAAAGCGCACGUAGGCGGAUACUUAAGUCAGGGGUGAAAUCCCGGGGCUCAACCCCGGAACUGCCUUUGAUACUGGGUAUCUCGAGUCCGGAAGAGGUGAGUGGAAUUCCGAGUGUAGAGGUGAAAUUCGUAGAUAUUCGGAGGAACACCAGUGGCGAAGGCGGCUCACUGGUCCGGUACUGACGCUGAGGUGCGAAAGCGUGGGGAGCAAACAGGAUUAGAUACCCCCGUAGUCCCUGUCUCUUAUAU